GGAGGAUUAGCUCAGCUGGGAGAGCACCUGCCUUACAAGCAGGGGGUCGGCGGUCGAUCCGUCAUCCUCCACCA
rnacentral:tRNA from 1 species